rnacentral:rRNA from 1 species
GACAGAGGGUGCAAACGUUGUUCGGAAUUACUGGGCGUAAAGCGUGUGUAGGCGGCCUUAUAAGUCGGAUGUGAAAGCCCAGGGCUCAACCCUGGAAGUGCACUCGAUACUGUAAGGCUCGAGUACUGGAGAGGUUGGUGGAAUUCUCGGUGUAGAGGUGAAAUUCGUAGAUAUCGGGAGGAACACCGGUGGCGAAGGCGGCCAACUGGACAGAUACUGACGCUGAGACACGAAAGCGUGGGGAGCAAACAGG